UGUCAUGUACUACCUGCCUUCUCUGCUC
rnacentral:piRNA from 1 species